UACGUAGGGUGCGAGCGUUGUCCGGAAUUAUUGGGCGUAAAGAGCUUGUAGGCGGUCUGUCGCGUCUGCUGUGAAAAAUCCGGGGCUCAACCCCGGACUUGCAGUGGGUACGGGCAGACUAGAGUGUGGUAGGGGGAGACUGGAAGUUCCUGGUGUAGCGGUGAAAUGCGCAGAUAUCGGGAGGAACACCGGUGGCGAAGGCGGUUCUCUGGGCCUUAC
rnacentral:rRNA from 1 species